rnacentral:tRNA from 1 species
GAGGGUAUAGCUCAGUGGCAGAGCACAUGCUUAGUAUGCACAAGGUCCUGGGUUCAAUCCCCAGUACCUCCA